CAGCGCCGCGGUAAUACGUAGGGUGCAAGCGUUAAUCGGAAUUACUGGGCGUAAAGCGUGCGCAGGCGGUUCGCUAAGACAGAUGUGAAAUCCCCGGGCUUAACCUGGGAACUGCAUUUGUGACUGGCGGGCUAGAGUAUGGCAGAGGGGGGUAGAAUUCCACGUGUAGCAGUGAAAUGCGUAGAGAUGUGGAGGAAUACCGAUGGCGAAGGCAGCCCCCUGGGCCAAUACUGACGCUCAUGCACGAAAGCGUGGGGAGCAAAUAGGAUUAGAUACCCCCGUAGUCCCUGUCUCUUAUACA
rnacentral:rRNA from 1 species